rnacentral:rRNA from 1 species
AACACUUGACAUGUUCGUCGCGACUUUAAGAGAUUAAAGUUUUCGGUUCGGCCGGACGAAACACAGGUGCUGCAUGGCUGUCGUCAGCUCGUGUCGUGAGAUGUUGGGUUAAGUCCCGCAACGAGCGCAACCCUCACUUUUAGUUGCCAUCAUUUAGUUGGGCACUCUGAAAGAACUGCCAGUGAUAAGCUGGAGGAAGGUGGGGAUGACGUCAAGUCCUCAUGGCCCUUAUGUGUUGGGCUACACACGUGCUACAAUGGUAUCUACAACAGGAAGCAAGAUGGCAACAUUAAGCAAAUCCUAAAAAGAUACCUCAGUUCGGAUUGCACUCUGCAACUCGAGUGCAUGAAGCUGGAAUUACUAGUAAUCGUGGAUCAGCGUGCCACGGUGAAUACGUUCCCGGGUCU